UGUACAAGGAUAAAAGUAUCAAAGUGCAAACGGCAGUAUGCACAAAUUAACCAGCAUAAGUUGAAUGCUUUCCGCAUACAUCAUUAAGAAUCAGAGAUGAAUCUGUUUCCGGCACAAUUUAGAGAAACAUAUUGCUUAAAUAGGAUAAAUCCACUUCAGAGAACCACAAGGUUGCUGUAAACUUUAAUUUUUUUGACCUCUUGUUUUCAUGACAAAAGUAAGCUGAUACCAAGAUGAACUUCAAAGUCUCCAAUUCAAGAAGUGGUUACUACUGUUCCAUCAAUAUUCAUCUUAAUCAAGCUUUCAUAAUAACAAACCAGUUCUAUGUUAAGCUCCAACUUUCUUGUAUACGGACUAUUAUGCGAGCUCCAUCAAUUCAUGCAGCCUCAUCUAACACGUACUUCUAUUCUGCAGACAGUAACUUGCUGACAUGAUGCAAUGUCCUUCCCCUACACACCUCUACUCAAAGCCACAGAUUGAAGCAAAUAUAAGGAAGGAAAGACACAUACACGUAUUGAAGCAAAUGUUAUCUUAGGACGGGUGCACAGGAACUUAAGAUUUAAUUUGCCCUUUUUUUCCCCUCUUGCAGAGUCACAUGACUGAUAUGUUAGACAAGGACUAGCCAUAGGUGAAGAAUGAUAGACCCUUCAAAUGCCAGGGUUGACUCAAGCUUUCAGAAAACUCAAUCUGUCACAAAACGUCAAAGAGCAUCUCCUCUAUGAUGACUAAACAAUAAGGUUUAGGAGUAGCUGGACAAGAAAAACCUUGUCAGAACUAUCCAGUUUAAAUUUACAUAUUUAGCCUAUCAAUGCAGCAACCAGAGAAAGGAGAGGAAACAAGUCAUUCACAUCCAAUAUGCUGAAAUGGCAACAUCUUGUUGAAGGGCAUAUCCCGCACCAAAGUUUGAGAAUAUU